GACGAACGCUGGCGGCGUGCUUAACACAUGCAAGUCGAACGGAAAGGCCCUGCUUUUGUGGGGUGCUCGAGUGGCGAACGGGUGAGUAACACGUGAGUAACCUGCCCUUGACUUUGGGAUAACUUCAGGAAACUGGGGCUAAUACCGGAUAGGAGCUCCUGCUGCAUGGUGGGGGUUGGAAAGUUUCGGCGGUUGGGGAUGGACUCGCGGCUUAUCAGCUUGUUGGUGGGGUAGUGGCUUACCAAGGCUUUGACGGGUAGCCGGCCUGAGAGGGUGACCGGCCAAAAUGGGACUGAGAUACGGGCCAGACUCCUACGGGAGGCAGCAGUGGGGAAUAUUGCACAAUGGGCGGAAGCCUGAUGCAGCAACGCCGCGUGCGGGAUGACGGCCUUCGGGUUGUAAACCGCUUUCGCCUGUGACGAAGCGUGAGUGACGGUAAUGGGUAAAGAAGCACCGGCUAACUACGUG
rnacentral:rRNA from 1 species